GAUGAACGCUGGUGGCGUGCCUAACACAUGCAAGUCGAGCGAUUCUCUUCGGAGAAGAGCGGCGGACGGGUGAGUAACGCGUGGGUAACCUGCCCUGUACACACGGAUAACAUACCGAAAGGUAUGCUAAUACGAGAUAACAUGCUUUUAUCGCAUGGUAGAAGUAUCAAAGCUUUUGCGGUACAGGAUGGACCCGCGUCUGAUUAGCUAGUUGGUGAGGUAACGGCUCACCAAGGCGACGAUCAGUAGCCGACCUGAGGGGGUGAUCGGCCACAUUGGAACUGAGACACGGUCCAAACUCCUACGGGAAGCAGCAGUGGGGAAUAUUGCACAAUGGGCGAAAGCCUGAUGCAGCAACGCCGCGUGAGCGAUGAAGGCCUUCGGGUCGUAAAGCUCUGUCCUCAAGGAAGAUAAUGACGGUACUUGAGGAGGAAGCCCCGGCUAACUACGUG
rnacentral:rRNA from 1 species